ensembl:lncRNA
AGCACAGCAUAGUAGAAACCAUAGGCAUACAUAUACAUGGAGUUUCACUCUUGUACAUACACCAGAUUUUUUUUUUUUAUUUAUUUAUUUAUUUUAUUCAUUGGUUUGUACUGAUUUAUUCAAAUCUUGCAUGAAAUAGGGUAGAAUAAAACAACAGCAACAACAACAUCAAACAUUAAGAAUGAAUUAGUUUCCCUGGAUAUGAAGAAACAGAAGGAAGUAUUCUUUGUAUGAAUACAAAGGAGCAAAUACUUUAAUUCAUAACACUGCUGAAGAAUCUGCAUUAGACUCAUACAAUGGAGGAUUUGGACUAGGCCUGGUUUAAAAUUGAAGCUCAAGCAAUGAAGAACACAUUCUGUAUUUCCUCUCAAAACACACUGAGAAAGAUACCUAAAAGAAAUGGAGCCUAUCUGCACAGUUAGAAACCACAUAUUUCAAAAAAUAAGAUAAAUUCAGUGACAUAUCAUAAUAUAGAUUUUUAUUCUGAUAUAACUUUUUAUUAUUUCUACUCUUCAUACCUGAUUUGCAGAUUUCUUUUCUAAUCUCUCCCCCUUACUACAUUCUUGUCAUGGACAAAAAUGGAGCACACAAUUAAUGUGAAAGUAGGAAUAUUUUGUUAUUCUGACAGAGGCUUUUUGGGGUCUUUUCCAACUCAUUUUGCACUUUGUUCUUCCUUCAUCAGUCUGCAGCCUAAUUUUCUAUCUUAUUUUACUCUAUGUGACACAUAUUAAAAAUAUUAGAUGCUUUAUUUUUGCCCUCUUUAUAAUCCUUGAGUUGGGUUUUCACCCAAUAAUUAAGUUUGUAAUAUUCCCCCUAAAUGAGUGCUGCUUUGUUGUCAACAGCUCAAGGCUCAGCUCCUACGCAUAGACCUUUGAGGAUACUGCUGUUACCUUUCACCUGUACUGCUUUACUCAGUGUGUUUAUUUUAGGAUUACAGUUACAAAAUGAAACAAAGCAAAACAAGCAAAACAACAAACAAAGAACCACCACCACCACCGACAGAAAGAAAAAAAAAAAAAAAGUUCUGUACUCACUUGUCAGCAACUACAGGAAAUGAAUGAGAUAAUCAUCCUCGCUGGCUUGCUGUUUUGGAGCUUCAAAUCUUGUAACUAUUUGUACAUAGGUAUUGCUUGCUACACUCCAAAAGACUCCCAUAACAAGUCCUUAUUCCAUCCACCAAUUGCAGUACCUGAGACAGACUUUUGGAACUAGAUGUGAGUAGUGCUAGCUACCAAUAAAUGCUGCUGUAAAGCAUAUAUGUUUGACAUUAGAAAUUCAUCAGACCAGUGUCUCUGUAUACCAUAAAGUCACUCCUAAUUGGAUCUGUUCCAGAUGAAUUCUUACGGUACAGUGAAGCAAGAAGUUCUCAUCUUCCCAGGGAAUAAUCAUGCAAAAUGUAGCUCAAUUAAUAUGAUAUUUUUCAUAAUUGGAAGGAGUCC